rnacentral:rRNA from 1 species
UACGGGGGGAGCAAGCGUUGUUCGGAUUUACUGGGCGUAAAGCGCGUGUAGGCGGGCCGUUAAGUUGGGGGUGAAAGCCCGAGGCUCAACCUCGGAACUGCCUUCAAAACUGGCGGCCUGGAGCAGAUGAGAGGCGAGUGGAAUUCCGAGUGUAGAGGUGAAAUUCGUAGAUAUUCGGAGGAACACCAGUGGCGAAGGCGACUCGCUGGCAUCUUGCUGACGCUGAGACGCGAAAGCGUGGGGAGCAAACAGG